rnacentral:rRNA from 1 species
UACGGAGGGUGCGAGCGUUGUCCGGAAUCACUGGGCGUAAAGGGCGCGUAGGCGGCAUGCCAAGCGUGUGGUGAAAGCCCGGGGCUCAACCCCGGGUCGGCCGUGCGGACUGGCGUGCUCGAGCACUGUAGGGGCGGGUGGAAUUCCGGGUGUAGCGGUGGAAUGCGUAGAGAUCGGGAAGAACAUCAGUGGCGAAGGCGACCGACUGGGCUGCACCUGACGCUGAAAUGCGAAAGUGUGGGGAGCAAACGGG